CAGUUUGAUCGCGAACUCUGUAACGGACGGAGAUUCAAGUCUUCCAAUCCUCAGCUGAAUAUCUUAGCUCGGGCAUCGAUAACCAAGAUGGUCAAGGAAGGGUUGCCAACGACUAUUUUCUGCGUAGUUUUGUUGGUCAUCAUUGGGACGUUAGUGGCCAAUGCUUCCUUUCCAAAUUGCAACAGAAUCUGCACCUUCGAAUACAAUCCCAUUUGUGGCAGCGACGG